rnacentral:rRNA from 1 species
UACGGAGGGUGCAAGCGUUAAUCGGAAUUACUGGGCGUAAAGCGCACGCAGGCGGUUUGUUAAGUCAGAUGUGAAAUCCCCGCGCUUAACGUGGGAACUGCAUUUGAAACUGGCAAGCUAGAGUCUUGUAGAGGGGGGUAGAAUUCCAGGUGUAGCGGUGAAAUGCGUAGAGAUCUGGAGGAAUACCGGUGGCGAAGGCGGCCCCCUGGACAAAGACUGACGCUCAGGUGCGAAAGCGUGGGGAGCAAACAGGAUUAGAUACCCCCGUAGU